rnacentral:rRNA from 1 species
AUUGAACGCUGGCGGCAUGCUUUACACAUGCAAGUCGAACGGCAGCGCGGGCUUCGUCCUUGCCUCGAUUGGCGAACGGGUGAGUAAUACAUCUGUACGUGCCCCUUCUUGGUGGAUAGCUCUUCUUAAUCCGUAUUAAUACCGCAUACGACCUUAGUCUGAAAUCCGUGGAUCUUCGGACCCCUCCCUCUUUCCUCCUCCGAUGGCAGAUUUGCUAUUUGGUGUGGUAAAGGCCUACCAAGGCGACGAUCUGUAGCUGGUCUGAGAGGACGACCAGCCACACUGGAACUGAGACACGGACCAGACUCCUACGGGAGGAAGCAGUGGGGAAUUUUGGACAAUGGGCGAAAGCCUGAUGCAGCAAUGCCGCGUGUGUGAAGAAGGCCUUCGGGUUGUAAAGCACUUUUGGCGGGAAAGAAAAGGAGUGGGACAAUACGAAGGUUAGAUGACGGUACCCGCAGAAGAAGCACCGGCUAACUACGUG